rnacentral:misc_RNA from 1 species
GGAAAACAAGAAGAUUUCAUAAUGAAAUGACUAAAAAGUCCAGUACAAGUUCUUCAAAGUGUGCAAGUUCUUCAAAGUGUGAUCAUAACUCCUCUAAAAAAUUAUCAUCAUUAUUAUACAUGGACGAUGAUUCCAAGCAUUUCAAAAAGAGACUGGCGGGCAAGACCAUGGUAAUACGAGUAACUUCAGAACUUCAAUAAACUCAUUUCUUACAAAUUAUAUGGAAGUUCGGUCCAAAUAAUCAACUUAAAAAAAAAAGUUCAUUUUUUAUACCCAAUAUUGAUAUACUCGGUACAGGAUUGCUGACAGUUGACAGCAACUGUGAUCUUCAAAACUAUUACGCCCAUCCAAGGAGAAACUCUUAUAAAUAUGUGCUUCAGGGAACAGUUUCACCUCUCAGACGUCAUCUUCUGGUACUGUGCUUUCUAGUGAUCCCUCUCCACAUAACCAAGCCUGCUCAUCCUGUUACGGUCAUCCAAGUAAUCAUGAUUAUUAUAAUGAUGUGAGCCAGGCACAUAAUCAUUCCGAUGCUUGCCCUCAGGCAAUUUUUCUGGUGGGCUCCAUGACUUCCGCUUGCGGUUGCUUGACUUGGGCGAAUGAAAUCCCCGGUCCAUAUCAUCAGGAACUUCCCCUUCUUCCAUAAUGUUCAAAUCUGAUUUAUGUGACAAAUGCCCCUUCAUUCCUUGACGUUCUCCAUCCCCUGCAUCCUCUUGAUGGUUUUCAUGAUGCGGAUUUUCAUGCCUUUGCCUGUCCAAGGGCUUAGAAUAGCUCUGCCUCCUGUCCCGCUUACUCUUCUCACUCUCAGCAGCUAGCUCGAUACCAGCUUCCAGUUCCCUCUCAAUGAAAUCAUCCUCAUCCAAGAAGUCAGUUUUCCUACUGACAUCACCCCUGGACUUCUUUCGUUUCUCCAAAGCUGCCUUUACUUUGUCUCUGUCAAUCUUUUUAAUAGCAUCUUGGGGUGACUGGCCUACUGUACCUUCUCUAUUUUCCAGAUUUCGACCAAAAUGUUUGUCUUUUAAUUCCCCUGCUUCACUGAUUUCACUUCUCACAACAUUCCUUUCCUGAUCUUCUUUACCAUGUGAUGCAUGUCUCAAUGUGUUAGCUUCCCCCAUAUUCUCAUGGCGAGACAAUGUAUCUAUUCCUUGGUCUACAUAAUCUGAAGAUUCACCAUCAGCAUUGUGAUCAGAGGC